UUGAAGCCGUGCCCCAGCUGGUCUGCUUUGCAGGCCCUUGAGGAAGGGGCGCCUUUACACGUGGGAAAGGUGGGGAUUUUCCCCACCCUUGGGCAGGUUUAAUUCUCGCAUGGAGCAGUCAGACCCUCCUCAGGCCUGUGAAACGGUGACAGGCUUUGUGCUUUUUCUUGUUUCCAGGCCUUGUUUUGAAUUGACUUCCAUGCAAUUGUUCUCUGUUUUUCCCAGGAGGAUUACACCUGGUGCCCAGACUGGACGGGGAAGUGCCUGCAGCGUCCAUGGAGCACAUCCAGUGCUAAUGCUACCCCAGGGGCCACGGUCUGUGGGGACAGCCCCUUUCAGAAGGACAAGGACCUGGUGCGGGAUCGGCUCCUCUGCUGGCAGCAGCUCUCCAGAGGCUGCCAACACCCCAUGCCAUGGGAAUGGCACUGCUCAGCCUGCGAGGCUGGGGGGCUGGAGGGCAGCCCGUGUUCAUUUGCUGUCAAAGAUAAAUUUUUUUUUUUUUUUUGUUAUCGUCGUCAUCAGAGCAUUUCUUUCAUCCGUUUCCAAGCUUUUGGUCUGUUGUGAUAAAUGGAUGUGAUUUGUGCUAAAAAAAUCUGGUGGUUUAUACCAGCUGGACUCUAUUGUGGUCUAUACCAUGUUUUAUUUCCUGCAUAGGUAAAAUACCAUGUAUCAAAUUUGAUCAAAAAGAGAAAUGAGGGAGUGUGAAAACCUGGAUUUGUGGGAUGUAGAAGAUACCAAAAUUCAGUCUUUAUUAAAAAGCAUGAAUUAAUUUUAUCCAAAGAGAAGAUGGGGGAAAAUGUGAUAAAUGGAUGUGGUUUGUGCUAACAAAAUUGUAAUUAUAUCAAUAUUUUGGGAAGAAAAUGGGAAAGGUAUAUGUGAUUCAUAGUAUGAAGCAGAUGGGUUUCUUUGUAGAUGAUACAUGUGGGAAACAGGAUACAGGAGAUUGGAAUUGGCCUUGAUGAACAAAAGUUAGGAAGACUCCCAAGUCAGAAUUGGCAUCAAGAUGAAGUUAAGACAACUCCCAGGACAGGAUCUGCCAUGACAUGGAGAAUGUUGGGAUGAUUCCAGACAGGGAGUCUAAAAGAGUGUUCUUAUCUAUAAAAUAAUAAGGCUUAAUUGGAGCAUAGUGCUUACUUACAUAACACAGGACUUGGGGCACAUGCACAGCCUGCCAGGUUAUUCAGAGGACAGUGAGGAAGACUGUUGGCCUUCCUCCAAGAAGAGCCCCAGAGAGCCAGAAGCCCCCUUAGCCACAGCGGGAGCAUGCGCUGUGAGUGUGGUGAUGUCGAUUUCAAGAAUCAGAAACAGGAGGAGAUUUACAGGAAAAUAUUGAUGAAUAUGUAUUAGCCCACUGUACAUAAGUUGUGUUUGGAUCCUUUUGCAGGUGAGGCAGGGUGGGAAGCCCUCCCUGUACCCCGAUCUAGCAGUUUUGGUUAUGCUUUAUCCAAACCACUGCCAAAUUUCUUUUUUAACUACUGGAUUCUAUUUGAUUGUAUUGUUUUAUCUCACUUAAAACUGCUGCUAAAUUUUAA